UGUUUUACAGUAUGUCAUGGCCUUUUCUGGCCAACUGCUGUUAUGUUUAUGAUAUACUAUGGUGUUGUGUCACUAGACUUUGACCAGAUAUUAUUGCAUCCAAAGAUCAACUGCACCUAGAACAUAGAUACAGAGCCACUUGUCAUCAGGAAGCUGCUCUCUCAGCACAACGGAAAAUAUCUCAAUGACUUGACAUGUUCUGGCUGUGAAUUCAGGCUACAAGGGGUCACUGCUCUAAAAUGAGUCUCUCUUGGAAGAGAGAGAAGGGGGGCCCUGCCUCUAAAAGGAGUGUCUCUGGGGAACAUGGCACUAAAUCUAAGAGACAAAUCAAGCAGGAGAGACCAGCCUCCCCUGUCCCCAGCUGUGUGUCCAUGAAGAGUGACCUGUCUAUGUAUCAACCUAUAAACUUUAGAGAGGGAGACGUUUCUACUGAACAAAGUCCAAUCAAGCAGGAGACACCAGCCUCCCCUGUUCCCAGCUGUGUGUCCAUGAAGAGUGACCAGUCUAUGGCGCCUCCUAUAUCCUUUAGAGAGGGAGACUUUACUACUGAACAAAGGGGUCAGUUCUCUAAAAUGAGUCUCUCUGGGGAGAGAGAGGAGGGGGGCCCUGCCUCUAAAAUGAGUCUCUCUGGCGAGAGGAAGGAGGGGGCCCUGCCUCUAAAAUGAGUCUCUCUGGGGAGAGAGAGGAGGGGGGCCCUGCCUCUAAAAUGAGUCUCUCUGGCGAGAGAGAGAAGGGGGGCCCUGCCUCCAAAAUGCAUCUCUCUGGCGGACAUAACACCAAAGCUAAGAGACCAAUCAAGCAGGAGAGACCAGCCUCCCCUGUUCCCAGCUGUGUGUCCAUGAAGAGUGACAAGUCUAUGAAUCAUCCUAUACACUUUAGAGAGGGAGACUUUUCUACUGAACAAAGAAACCAACAGGAGAGAUCAGAGUCAGAGAUUCUCAGUGGUCAGUCUUCCCAGAGUCAUCAAACAGACCUGGACUCUAUAUUCAGUGUAUGUGAUCCUGUUAUGUACAUUUGUUUUUGUUUUCCUCAAGUAAUGUUUCUUUCAAUUAUUAAUUCAUGUGUUAAUGAGAAAGCAUUUCUUCUCUUGCUUAACUUAUUUACUUGAUUUAUUUCAGUUGCUUGAAGAGAAAAUUAUAACAUUUGUGAAGAACGAGCUGAAGAUGUUCAAGAGGAUUCUUGGU